UCCAGAGACUGCGAGCGUUAUUCGGAUUCACUGGGCGUAAAGGGUGCGCAGGUGGCCAAGUGUGUUAGGCGUGAAAGCCCGGGGCUUAACCCCGGAAUUGCACCUAAAACUACCUGGCUAGAGCAUUGGAGAGGGGAGCAGAAUUCAUGGUGUAGCAGUGAAAUGCGUAGAUAUCAUGAGGAAUACCAGAGGCGAAGGCGGCUCCCUGGACAAUUGCUGACACUCAGGCACGAAAGCGUGGGGAGCAAAAGGG
rnacentral:rRNA from 1 species